CAAAGUUUUACCUUCAUUUUGUAUCCAACAUUACUGUGAACCUUGCAUUGAAUCUUUUCUCAGCUCUGCACAGAGGUAUGCUAUCAUUUCAAGAUGAUUUCUUACAUGAUGCCGGCCCCCUUCAAGACUGAGGACACCAAGAUAAGAGCUGCUUCAUUAGAAUUAAAGAGAGAGAAAAUGGCCCCAUUACCGCCCUGUCUUGAUCUAGCAAGAAGUGUUCCUUUCUUCUGGGAAUAGAGAAGACACUUUUCCACUGAAAGCAUUUUCACUUGCUCCGGGGGAAGGGAAUUCAGAGAAAAUAUCUUGGAAGAAAUAAGCCUGGUGCUUUGAAGGAUGAAUAAGAAAUAACUAGUCUGAAAAGCAGAGUGACUUUCUGGAAAGCAUCUGCAAAGGCCCUGUGAAGAGAUGGAGUGAAUAGAAGAGAUGCGUGUAAGGCAGAAAGAUCACUGGGAACCUGGUGAAAAACAGGCUGAAGAGUUAGGUUAUCUGAUGGCCGUGGGCUGAGUGUGCCGAGACUGGAAACUGACAAACGUUCUCCCUUUGGCCAAAGUGGAGCCAGACUUCCUCACUGUGUUUUAACUAUGGCUUACAAAGACUGGAACAAAGUAUUAAAAUAGUUUCUAACAAGCAGCUCAAGACCACAUCCUAAAAUGACCUGAGCUCCCUUUUAAGUGUUUGGCUGAGAGUACUCAAGGUGGUCAAAAGAAUUUGUUUUUUUGUUUCAGCCAAGACGUGAAGAUAAUGUCACUGCCUCCUGGCCCCUGUGGAAAGGCAGGAGUCUAACUUAAUAAGUGCCAGUGAACAAACCCAGGUGGAUUUCGUAUGGACCAACUCCCUUCCUGCCUUUUGUGAUAUUUCACUACCCUUCCUCUGUUCCCCUCUGCUCAUCCCAUUUCUAUCUCUUCAUUCCCUAUUUAAAAUGCUCUGCCAUCUCUGUACAAAUUGAUAUUGUAUUCAGUUCAUGUUGGAUUCUUUCUCUAUUGCAAUAGUAUAUUACUGAUUAAAAUCUGUCCUUAUCACUUUAACUAAUAGCUUUGCUCAUCUCAGACAAGAUUUACAAACCAAUCUAAAAAUAUAUCUGAACAAAGGCAGUCACAUAAAGAAGAUGCACCAUGGGGAUAAGAUCCACUGGAAAAUGCCAGCCUCUGGAUUUCUCCUAGUGGAAUACUGUAAUGGGUCUUCAAAGUAGAAAACAGACUGGACAGAAGACUGGGGGAAAUGGAAACAAAUUGUUCAUUGGUAGGAACUAGCAGUAGAUGAAUAUUUUAACUAAGAUGUUGGGAGUUGCUAGAAGAAUAGCUUAUGCCCAGGUGGAGAGGAAAACGUGUAGAAUAUACCAGGUUAGUGAUAACACUUAAAAUAUCAAUUUGUAAACAAUUUGGAGGUUUUUAAAUAACCAGCUUUGUUACAUCAAACAAAAGCUUCCACUUUUCCAACGGUCUGUAUGGGAUGAGAUUAAAAUGCUAAGGUACAAAUUGGAAUUACUUUAAAAAGUCAAGCAGCAUAAUACAUUCCUGUGCUGCUUUGCUAGGUCGUAGCUCCACUAUAUCAAUACAUGUGGUGAUUUGAUAAGAAGUCAUAUACACACAAAGAACAGAUUUUCUGAUUAUUAAAUGCUGACAUUAUAUUUGCUAAUAAAUCAUUCAUUGAUCCUGUAAAAUAUUUAUUAAUGCUUAAUGAAUACCACACUCUGGGCUUUGCAGUGGUUUUUGUCCUCAGAGAGGAUAGAGUGGUGAUAACGGAGGUUGAUUGCUCAAGACACAUAGAUGUGGAUUCCUGUCCUCUACUCAUCUGUUUUUAGACUUCAUUCCUGCCCUUCUGCAGCUGGACUCUGUAUCUCGGGAGAUUUUUUUCAAGUCUGCCUUUCCUAGGCUGAGUAGGGUUUUGGCUGGCUGUGGCUAAAGAGAGACACUGGAGAGAGAAUGGAAGGUGGGAAAAUUGGAGAAACCAGUGAAUUUGUCCUGUUGCUCAGGCAGCAUCUUAGGAAAUGCCUGCCUUUCUGCCAUGUUCCCAAGUUCUGCUCAAUAGGCUCAGAAUUUGGUUUCUGAUACGUCCACUCUUAACAGCUGAAUCUGUGCACCUCUUCUCAACUUUUUAUUUGGUCAUGGAUUGGUAUUUUGUGGGAUUUUUACACCACAAAAAUUGGUAGACAAGCUUAGUUUCUCUCCAGAGAGCUGUGUUUUAAUCAUUAACCAGAGCACUGCUGGGGUUAGUCACGCCCCCUGUUUGGAUUCUUUCUACGAGAGUG